AAUUCUAAAAUUUGUAGUAUGCAUUGGAUUUUAACUUUAGUCAUUUGUUCAUGAGAUUCCAGAGUAAAUGAUUUGAAUAUUAUGAUGUGUGAGAUCAUUCUAUUGUGUUUUGUACGUGCUCCUUCCAUAGAUGAGUACACCCAACUUGUCAUCGUCAAAACUUUUAGCAUUAAACCAACCUUUUAUAGAGUGAGCAACUUAUUUAGAUAUUUUUUUUUUGCCCAAAAAGGACACUUAUUGCCUAAGACACACAAUUCUCAGAAUCGAUGCGGAUUGUGAACAAUUAUACCUUUACCUUUGGCCUUUAAAAACCUAGUUGGUCUUUUGUUGGGAAAAAUAAACAUAGUUUUUUUAGUUACUUUUAUUUUAGUUUGCCUAUUAAUUAUUGUUAGGUUUAUAAAUCACUGGGAUUAGAUUAUAGCCACACGAUUUAGAAAGCAUUUUUAGAGCUAAUGGUUGUUGUGGCUUAUGUGUGCUUGAAUAAAACAGACAAGUGACGUGACUUAAUGUUUGUGUUGGUGGUUGACGAAGAAGAAGGUCUCUCUAGUCUAUUUUUUUGGUGAUUGAGUUAUGUUUGAUCGUGUCAACUUCUGUGUUUUUUGAGAUAGUAGUGAACGUGUUCGUUUUUUGUUGCAUGAUAACGCAAUGGAAGAGAAAUGUACAGUGAUUUGUUGGGAGUGGCUGUGUGAGGUGGAGGGAACUGGAAUUUUGUCGUCGACAAGCAUCAUAUGGCGGUGUUGGUGCCUGUUUAUGAGAAAAUCAGCUUGAAGGAGCUUAAGAGCAGUUUUUUACCUGAGUUCAAUGUUCAUGAAGCCCUUUGUCUAGUUUCGUUAAGCUACUGGCCCGCCUAGUACUUUUGAGCUUUCCACUGGCAUGAAGACAUCACCGGUGUUGUUUAAAAGCGACGAGUCUAUAAUGCACUCGUACAAGUACUUGCAAGUGAAGAAGCCAUGAACCUUUCUGCAAGUUUGAUAAUAGGGUAAUCUUUAAAGCAAAGGAUAAUGUGGAUGAGUCCGGUUUACUUUGUAAUCCCAACUAUAGGGAUAAGGAAGAUGUCAACCGAUAUUGAUGGGAGCUCAUCAAAAAGGGGUUAUGUUUCAUGGUUGACUCUAAAACACAUGUAAUCAAUUUGGAUGAUUUUGAGAUUGUACGUGCGAUGGAGAAGGUGGAGGAAGAAAUAAAAAGUGAGGAGUACCCACAGCUUUCAAGAAAAAAAAGCAAGAGGUGGAAAUAAUGGUGAAGACAUUUUGGAUAUCGAAGAUGGUGAUUUGGAUGAAAGGGAUAUCAGACCUAGAAGCAAUGAUAAGGGGUUUUGGAGUCCAUUGCUAGAAGGUGAUUUUGGUGGUUCAAAUGUUGUCAAAGUUGUUUUCAAAGAGGAUAAAAUCGUGGAUAGUCUAAUCAAAAAGAGAGGGCCACGUCAACGAACAAUGCUUUUGAUAUUAGGUGAAAGUGUGGGGCUCAAGCAGUGGGCCGCAACAAGGGAAGUGGUCGAAACUUGAGGAUGAGAACCCGUGGAAGAGUGAUGGAGUAUAUGCGGCUUGCAUGGACUGGGCUUCCCGUGGAUGUGGACAUAAGCUAGAUUAGAGGGAUGACGAGGAGUUUGAUAUACCACUAUUGUUUGAUGAUAUUGCAUAUGAUGCAGCCAAGAUACCGGAUAUGUAUGUGGAUGAAGGGGAUGGAGGAUCUACGUUGGGAAGGUUUUUGGUAACAAAGUCGAUAGACAAAUCUUGCUGGAUAUAUGCAAUUAAGAAUCAGUUCUAGUUCAAGCGUCAAGAACAAAAAUCUAUUCAUUUGUGGCUGAGUGCCCCGAUGAGGCGAUGUGACUAGCGUGUGAUAGUGCAUGAGAUAAGGGGUUCUGACUACUAUGAGAUUAGGAAGGCACAUCCCGAGCAUAUUUGUCUUAUUAAGACUAGGAAAUGGUACAAGAAUAGAAAAAAAUCACAGGUUAUAGAUUCUGUGUAACAAGUCCAGGUUUGGGGAUCCUAGGAAAGGUCUUGUAUGUAGAGAUCUACAACGGCUUGUUCUAAAAUCUUACAUGAAGUGCUAUACGGCUAAAGAGCAUGAAAUAUUUGGUAUUUAAAGAACAGAUGAUAAUUCUUGCAUUAAAAUGUCUGAAUAGCUAUACAUGUUACAACUUGCUAACCUAAGUACCAUUGCUGAUUUGGAGACUUAAUUGGGUGAGGAGGGUCAGGGCCGGUUUUUGUACCUAUUCCUUGCUUUUGGUGCGUCCAUAAGCGAGUUCAAUAAUUUGAGACACGUGCAGCCAAUAGUGCGUGUGGAAUAUAUUUGUUGAAGAUUGGUGUUGCUCAUUGGUCCAGUGAAAAUAUUCCGGGAGACCUAUACAAUAUAAUGAAAAUUAAUAUUGUAGAGCAAUUUAAAAAAGCUUCGAACAAAGGGAGAUCAUCACCUAUAUUAGAUCUGUAGGUUUUUGGCGGAUGACAAUGUGAAAAGGAACUGUUUUAACUGUGGUAGUUUGGAAAAUCAAUUAGGGUGUGUGACUCAAAAUCUAGAAAUUUAGGAGCAAUCGAGGAUGGGGUUCGAGAGGGGUUAGGGCUAGGGAUUAGAAAGACAUAAUUGGGAAAGUGUUUUUGUUUUACAUUUUUUAAAUUAAAAUCAUAAAGAAAUUAAGAAAAAAAGAGAGAAAACCAACGGUUUGGUUAGGAAAAAGAAGUAACUAGUGAUCCUAAUAUAAUAAGGGUAUAAUAAACAAUCAGCACGAGAGUAUGAUAUUCAAUAAAAAAAACUUUAGAGCAGUUCGUCCUAGCCGCUCUCAAACAUAAUAAUCGAGUCAGAUCCUAUCUCCACCUUCUCUGGCACCGGUGAAUGAAGCUAGAUCUCUCUGGCGCCGGUACUUCCCGUCUCGUCUCUCCUGCCUCCUCGUCUCUUUGCUCUUCUCAAACCUUUCGUGUAUGUUCUGUCCGUUUUUGAUUCUGCUGUUUCGUGGUGACUGGAGUUUUCAUCGGUUCUCGCGACGGAGGUGGAAGCAAAGCCGGAUGAAUCCGUUUCUCACUGUGAUGCUCCCUCUUUGGCUACUUAUUCUCUGUUCACCGACUUCAGUCUCCUCUGCCACUGUGUCUGACAACCACUUCUCGAAUGAAAGCCUCAAAGAUAUAUACUCAUGAACCUUUGCUCAACGUUUAUUGGUGGGGUUUGAGGCUGCUUCUUCUAGGUGUAGCUUUCCUAUCUCACACCAAGAUCUCUCUGUUCCUGUAGCACUGUCGGGUGAAUCUGUCGGCUUUUAUUUCUUAUGAUAUUUCCUCUUGACAGAUCUACUUUUUCACUGGUAUGUACCAUCGACUUUCUGUUCGAGGACCAAUCUCCCUACGGGGGAGAACUGCUCAAACUUAUUAUGGCGUGAAGGCAAAAGGCUUUGAUAAAUCUGUACACUGACUCGCAUAAUCUGAUCCUGCAACCAUUGGCAUAUUCAUUUUAUGUUCAAGAGGACAUCUUCGGGAGCCCUCACAAGACCUUUGGAGCAUUUCUUCCAACAGUCACUUGCCUGGUCUUCUGGUGUUCAGGAAUCAAUCAUUAUCAACUAGCUCUCUCUCAAGAAAAUGUCCAUUAUCAGUUCCAUCACUGAAGUGCCUAAAGCUAGAACCAACCAGCCCUCUAAAACUAUCUUUUCUAGAUAAAUUUUGGUCAAACUUCCUCUCGACAAGGCCGAGAGAGAUCUUUCUCCACUUCCUCCUAAUCAAAGGAGAUGAUAUUCUCACCACAAUCCCUCUUUGUAAGAGGUGACCACUCUACGGAAAUCAAAACCGUAAAAAUUCACCGAUUUCCUAACCGUUUGUUAUCUUAUGUGAUGGUCAACUUGGGGCUGGUAGAUACAACAAUUCUUAUUCCGAUGAGAAUCGAGAUUCGGGAUGAUGUUGCGACGUCACAUUUUACCGUGACUAAUAGUUUAUUACUUGCGGAGAUUGACGUGCAGUGUAACUCUUUCAUAGAAAAGAUCGCAAGUGGCAACUUUGAUUUUUUUUAUAACAUUUAAUCAAACUUUGACAAGUUUGUGUCUCUAUCCUUGUACUACUUUGAUUUAUAUGUUAAGGAUCUUGCCUUUUGGUUUGCA